ensembl:snRNA U1 U1 spliceosomal RNA
AUACUUACCUGGCAGGGGAGAUGCCAUGAUCACAAAGGUGAUUUUCCCAGAGUGAGGCUUAUCCAUUGCACUCAGGAUGUGCUGACCCCUGUGAUUUCCUCAAAUGUGGGAAAAUGGACUGCAUAGUUCGUGGUAGUGAGGGACUGUGUUAGAGCUUUCCACUA